rnacentral:lncRNA from 1 species
UCAAACAUAUAAUUUUCAAGUGAAAUAUUUUUCAAAAUUUUCAUAAGAGUUAUCGGGGUUCUAACAGCAGAAACUCAAACCGAAGUUUUGAGUAUAAAAUAUCAAUGACUUAAAAAGUGAAUUUGGAGUUUCACUUAAGUUACUCGAGCCUGAAGUUUCAAGCAGCAGUUAACUUGAAGUUAACAUUUUAAGAACUUGUAGUUCUACCAUUAUAAAAUCGGACAUGAAGCUUCGAUUACAUAUAUGAAUGAUGGCUUUAGAAUAGCAUAUACUAUCCCGUUUUUACAUUAAGUGCGGGCCCCCAAAAUGUUCCCAGAUUAUAUAACACAUAUUGUGAUGUGAGAUCCUACCUCACCUGAGGGAUGGCAGGAGAUGUGUCUAACAUGCAAACAUACCUCCCUAUAUUGUGAUGCAUUUUGGGUUCCAAUGCACACAGUAUCUCGCUAUGCGGCCUAUUACGUGUCAAAUUCUAUAGUAAAGUGAGACACAAAAUGUCAUGAAACAACAGUUCAUUGAACAAAAUAUACAUUAUUUUGGCAUGACUAGUUACGUCAUAUUUUACAUAAAGUGUUACUUGGAAUCAGUUCAACUCUUGAUGACCACUAACUAACGCUACUUUGAGCAAAUUGUUCAUUUGCCUCAUAUAUGUUUUGUUUUAUCACCUUAAUGAGACACUCCUCUUGUUAUGCGGGGGAUAAAUAUUAUUCUUGAAGAACGACAUGAAUUGUUGUGAAAUAUUUACCUACUGUCUCAUUUUGAGCUUGAGAAAUAUCUCAGCUAGUGAUUUAUUAAAGCUAGUGAUGACAAAACUAUAUGUUAGUACAAAAACAUUUGCUUGGGUUAAAGUCUAUGAGACUAACCAUAUUAACAAAACAACCUUGACCCCAUUUGAUUUGUGGGAGGAAUGUAUAUCUACGUGACAUGGUUCUCCUAACGAGAAUGUCAUUAAAAAUAUUCGAGUUCCUAAUAUGGCGGCUACAAUAUUACACAUACAAAGGUUAAAAGUACACCAUCAGAUGAUGAUAUCUUAGUCAUACAAAAAUACAUCCAUAUGGUUGAUACUCAUGAAUUUAAUAAUUUUGACCUUACACUUGGUUUAAGUUCACCACCAGCCAAUGGACAUCUUCACUCGAAAGGAAGUGAUAGACAUUUAAACGCAUUUUUAUGCAUGGUCAUGAUAAGACAGUGUUUGAUUCCCACCAAAUGGGGGAGAGAAAAGACUACUAUCAUUUGAAUAACGGUGUG